CUGUGGCAUGACUUUACGCGGGCUCUCGUGAUAUUUGCUCCCACUGUGACGUUGAAGCAGCCGCGUAACUCUAAUGGGAAAAAGCCCAGCUUGACAUAACUACUGUACAGAAAUCUACAAAAAGGAAAUGGAUGGCAUUCCCGGGGAAUACUCUACGGUCAGAGAAACAGAGAGACUUCUGCACUGCACCAGAGAGAGAGAGAGAGAGAGAGACAGAGAGCAAUAAAUAGGAUCAGCACUGCAAGUGCUACGACCAGCGCAACAUUUCAUCGAACCAACUAUUAAAGCAUGCUGAUGAUUACAACCACACUGCAAAAUCCGAUAAUUACCAGAAUACCGCUGCUUUUAAUGCCAAAGCAUUUAUUCCUGAUAUGAAAUAGAGACCUUAGUUUUGAGCUUAAUUUUAAUAUGUAAUUAUUAACUAUAUUAAUCUGGAUAUACAACAUUUAUAAAGCAUAACUUUUUAUUUUAUUCAAUUAUAAAU